rnacentral:lncRNA from 1 species
GGGUAUGAUGAAGUAUGCAUGGAGAUUUUGAGUAGUCAACAAGGAAUCGAUCACUCCUUGUAGAAGGAGAGAACAUCCUAUGUGAUCUCAUAGGAUGAUGACUCUGAGAGUCUCUGAUUAGAGCAGGGAUGAAUAAUAGAAAUGAUUUCUACUGGUUCAUGAAUUGAGUCAUCAUCAUCGAAUUAAGAUACAUAUGGUUAGAUAUUUGGGUUUGACAUAU